rnacentral:misc_RNA from 1 species
CUUUCCUUGUCAACGGCACUAGCAGCAACAAUGAUCUUUUCAACAUUAUGACCAGCAAUUGCAGUUGAAUAAACAAUAGGAGCCCAAUGAAGAAUACGAAGCUUCUCCCUGACAUCUUCUUCAUAGUGUAUUGCAGUUUGCUGGUUUUUAUUGGGUAUUGUAUCCCAUUUGUUUACAACAAUCAGGCAGCCCUUCCCUUCUUUUUCAAUCCUUUCAGCAAUUCUACAAUCCU